UUCUAUCUAGGCAAACAAUUUAAGAGAAAUGUAUCGAUUUUUGGUAGUGGACGAUGAUGAGAAAUGUCGAACUGAAAUUUGUGAUUUUCUUAGGGGAUGGCAAUAUUAUGGUAUUAUAUUGUUAAUCGUCAAUUAAUCAAUUUAUGGACAGUUGUUUCAGUAUUUAUUGCAUAAUACACACACACACACAUAUGAUAUAAAGUUAAAGCUCUUUUAAUAUGAAGAAAGAUUUUAUGAAAUAUAUUUUCAUAAAUUACGUGUAUUUUUUUUACUGAUUUCUAUGCUAUUUAUUUUAGCGACGGCUGCCAAAGAUGCUACUGAGGCUUUAAGCAUGUUGAAGGCCGAGUAUUUUCAUCUAGUAAUAGCUGAACUGAAACUUCCAGACAUAGAUGGGCUUCAGUUGAUGCGACAGAUUUACUCGCAAUUCAAGUUGCCGGUUAUUCGUGAGUUCGUUUAUAAAUUACAUAUGACACACGGUGGACCUAUUAAGGGUCCAAUUGAGAGUUACCGUUAUUAAGUUAAUAUAUAUGCCAUAUAUUAGCUUAGUUACUAAAAAAAAAAUAAGUACAGAAACCUUCAUAAAUUAACUGGAUAUUUAUGUAUACUUGUUAUGCAUGUGGACACUACUCUAGGCAAAUCAAAUAUAUUGUUAUUUAAUGUUAUAACUUUUUUAAAAUGCAUUUAUGUAUUAAUUGUGUUUGAUUAAGUUGACUUUUAUAUAUUCCUUCAUAUUUAUCGUAGUCUCUAGUAAAUUAAAAUAUCGGGUAUGCUUAUACAUGCAGUUAUGUCAGCUGAUGUCAAUAGGAAUAUUGUUAUAAAUGCACGCGGUGAAGGGGCAAUGUGGUUCAUUCUGAAGCCUGUUAUAGCAGAGGAUUUUAGAUAUAUGUGGCAAUAUGUGCUUAGGUGGCAAAAUGAAAUUCGUGAGGAGAAGGGAAAGGGAAAAGCCGAUCCAGAUCCAGAUGAAGAUAUUGGCACCUCGUCAUCUCAUCGUCUCAUUUAAUGAUGAAGAAAGAUAACGAGGAACGUAAUUACAAUUUCAUAGAUCGAUAAAUGCAAAUAUUAUUUUUAUAGUAAUGAUCAUGAGUUCAGAAUUUGUGUAUGCCAUAUCAACAAAAGUAUAUGGAUAUUAAUGUAUUGCCUAAUACUUUAUAUAAACAGACGUCUUUAUA